AGCAGAGUUAGGGUUUUACAAAUAUGAAAACCUCAACAGAUUUAUGGAGAGCCCUGAUCAAGAAAAACAGGUACCACAGUGCAGCUCUGCCAAACUCGAACAUUGGUAUCAAUUUACAGCUGAAAUUUGACAGUUGAAGGUGUUGAUAGUCUAGUCCAGCACAGGCAUACCCAGUCCACCCCGGAUCAGAAGCAUCUAUCUAGGCAGAAAUGGAAGCCUAG
rnacentral:lncRNA from 1 species